rnacentral:rRNA from 1 species
AACGAACGCUGGCGGCAUGCCUAACACAUGCAAGUCGAACGAGACCUUCGGGUCUAGUGGCGCACGGGUGCGUAACGCGUGGGAACCUGCCCUUAGGUUCGGAAUAACUCCCCGAAAGGGGUGCUAAUACCGGAUAAUGUCUUCGGCCCAAAGAUUUAUCGCCUUUGGAUGGGCCCGCGUUGGAUUAGCUAGUUGGUAGGGUAAAAGCCUACCAAGGCGACGAUCCAUAGCUGGUCUGAGAGGAUGAUCAGCCACACUGGGACUGAGACACGGCCCAGACUCCUACGGGAGGCAGCAGUGGGGAAUAGUGGAAAAUGGGCGAAAGCAUGAUCCAGCAAUGCCGCGUGAGUGAUGAAGGCCUUAGGGUUGUAAAGCUCUUUUAACCGGGAUGAUAAUGACAGUACCGGGAGAAUAAGCGCCGGCUAACUCCGUG